AGAGUUUGAUCCUGGCUCAGAAUGAACGCUGGCGGCGUGCUUAACACAUGCAAGUCGAACGAGAAAGAACCUGCUUGCAGGUUCGAGUAGAGUGGCGCCCGGGUGAGUAACGCGUGGAUAAUCUACCUUUGGAUCUGGGAUAACAUUGCGAAAGCGGUGCUAAUACCGGAUAAGAUCGCAAAUUUUGCGGAAUUAGCGAUGAAAGGCCGCCGAUCCUUGGAAGCGGUUGUCUGGAGAUGAGUCCGCGUACCAUUAGCUAGUUGGUGGGGUAAAGGCCUACCAAGGUGACGAUGGUUAGCUGGUCUGAGAGGAUGAUCAGCCACACUGGAACUGACACACGGUCCAGACUCCUACGGGAGGCAGCAGUGAGGAAUUUUGCGCAAUGGGGUAACCCCUGACGCAGCAACGCCGCGUGAGUGAUGAAGGCUUUUGGGUCGUAAAGCUCUGUCAAUGGGAAAGAAAUUAUUUAUGGUAAAUAACCAUAGGUAUUGACGGUACCCAUGAAGGAAGCACCGGCUAACUCCGUGCCAGCAGCCGCGGUAAUACGGGGGGUGCAAGCGUUAUUCGGAAUUAUUGGGCGUAAAGGGCGCGCAGGCGGUAUUAUAGGUCAGAUGUGAAAGUUCAGGGCUCACCCCCGAAAGAGCAUUUGAAACCAUAAUACUUGAGUAUGGGAGAGGGAAGUGGAAUUCCAGGUGUAGAGGUGAAAUUCGUAGAUAUCUGGAGGAACACCGGUGGCGAAGGCGACUUCCUGGACCAAUACUGACGCUGAGGCGCGAAGGCGUGGGUAGCGAACAGGAUUAGAUACCCUGGUAGUCCACGCAGUAAACGUUGUACACUAGGUGUAGCGGGUAUUGACCCUUGCUGUGCCGCAGCAAACGCAUUAAGUGUACCGCCUGGGGAGUACGAUCGCAAGAUUAAAACUCAAAGGAAUUGACGGGGGCCCGCACAAGCGGUGGAGCAUGUGGUUUAAUUCGACGCAACGCGAAGAACCUUACCUGGAUUUGACAUCCUGGGAAUACUUAAGAAAUUAAGUAGUGCCUUUCGGGGAGCCCAGAGACAGGUGCUGCAUGGCUGUCGUCAGCUCGUGUCGUGAGAUGUUGGGUUAAGUCCCGCAACGAGCGCAACCCUUAUCUUUAGUUACCAUCAUUUAGUUGGGGACUCUAGAGAUACUGCCCCGGUUAACGGGGAGGAAGGUGGGGAUGACGUC
rnacentral:rRNA from 1 species